UACGGAGGGUCCAAGCGUUAUCCGGAAUCAUUGGGUUUAAAGGGUCCGUAGGCGGUUUUGUAAGUCAGUGGUGAAAGCCCACCGCUCAACGGUGGAACGGCCAUUGAUACUGCAAGACUUGAAUUAUUAGGAAGCAACUAGAAUAUGUAGGGUAGCGGUGAAAUGCUUAGAGAUUACAUGGAAUACCAAUUGCGAAGGCAGGUUGCUACUAAUGGAUUGACGCUGAUGGACGAAAGCGUGGGGAGCGAACAGG
rnacentral:rRNA from 1 species